AGUGAACGCUGGCGGUAGGCCUAACACAUGCAAGUCGAACGGCAGCACAGUAAGAGCUUGCUCUUACGGGUGGCGAGUGGCGGACGGGUGAGGAAUACAUCGGAAUCUACUUUUUCGUGGGGGAUAACGUAGGGAAACUUACGCUAAUACCGCAUACGACCUACGGGUGGAAGCAGGGGAUCUUCGGACCUUGCGCGAUUGAAUGAGCCGAUGUCGGAUUAGCUAGUUGGCGGGGUAAAGGCCCACCAAGGCGACGAUCCGUAGCUGGUCUGAGAGGAUGAUCAGCCACACCGGAACUGAGACACGGUCCAGACUCCUACGGGAGGCAGCAGUGGGGAAUAUUGGACAAUGGGCGCAAGCCUGAUCCAGCCAUACCGCGUGGGUGAAGAAGGCCUUCGGGUUGUAAAGCCCUUUUGUUGGGAAAGAAAAGCAGCAGGUUAAUACCCCGCUGUUCUGACGGUACCCAAAGAAUAAGCACCGGCUAACUUCGUG
rnacentral:rRNA from 1 species